CUCCUGAGAUGCUUUCCUCCCACCUGUCUUCUCAGGAACCUGAGUCCGCGGAGCUUGGGACAGCCACAUGUCCUCUUCUCAAGGAAGGACUCCCCAGAGAACACAGGCCACAGCCCCACGCCCUCAGCUCUCUGCCAGGGCCCCUCGCCUGUAUUUUGCCUAUGCUGGAUUCUUGGUUACAGCCGAUUAUGCACUCUCACGUGUUACGCAUGAGGCCUUAAACUACAAUACACCUGGAGCUCCUUAAGCACUUGUUCUCGUCAGGCACUUUUUCCAUGGCCUAACCCAAGUCCAGGAGGACAAGAGUGGAGGCUGUGACUGGGAUGUGCUAGGUCUGGCUGGCCUGAAUUCUUCACAUGGGUCCGUGUUCUCCUACCUGUGUGACCAUGGCUCCUCACACCUCAUAGAGCUGAGUUUCCUGGGCCCUAGGGAAUUCAGGAUAUUCAGCUGGGGACAGACAGACUUGCUGCUAGGGUCUUCCCAGUCUGUUCUCUGCUGUUUUGCUGCUAAAGAUUUACAGCUAAUGAAGGGAUAAAGAAAGGUCACGGCGAGAGGCGGCAGCAUGUGGUGGUGACUCACUGGCGAGGCCUGGUGUGGAGCCAGUUUGGGUGGAACACUCGACUGGCUGCUGGGCCUGUUUUCACGUGGCUCUCGGCCAUGGCCCUGCAGCAAGCAGUUUCUCGACAGUUCCUGGUCAGAGGAAAGUCAUGGUCGUUCUGUCUUCCCCUGCUGUCAUGGACUCAAGACAAGACGAUAAAGCCUGUUGUCCAUUUGACAAAGAAACCACAGGCUGCCCUUUGGACUGCGAUCUCUCUCCUUCCAUCAGAUCAGCCCUUCAGUCACGCAAUCGCUGCUUCUUCCACUGUCCCCAGCUGCCUGGGCUCUGAGACGUCUGUUGGAAUAACUGCACAACAUGAGGCUGUUGAUCAUCUCUUGCAUGCUAAAGGCUUGUGACAUGACAACAGAAGCUGAUCCCACCAUGGCUAAAAGAUUUGUAUUUUGUGGGAACUGAAGACUCUGAAUCGAACUCCUACAGAUGAAGCUAGCCCUGGGAAGGUUUGUCCAGACACAGCUGCACUUUUAAAAGGAAGGGUCAAAGUUUCUGAGGCUGCAGUUUCCUCAAUAUCAAGAGUACCAGGAACAAGAGAGGAAGGUGUUACCUGCAACCAGAGCGAACGUCUGCAAUAGGUCUUUUGGGGAUAUUUCCCAUGAGCGGGCCGGUCAGGAGAGACUUUGGAAUGCACUGUUGUUCUGUGGUCUGGCAAUGCCUAGAACCAAGCGGGUUGCACUUUGGAAAAUGUCAUUACCAGAUCGCACUAGCUUCAAUGACAUGCACUUCCCUCUAUCCACACUCAAUUCAUUAGCACUGUGACUCAUGUGCAGUGUGGAAACAGAGAAUAGCUUUGCAAAAAGGAAAAUUCCCACUGAGUUGCAAAGGGCUUGCCUGGGACCUGCAGCUGUUUGGGGGCUUCCGCUGCUCACAGUCUGAUAGUUGCCGACGUCCCACAGAGCUCUUCGCUUUGACAUUUUGCCUACCACAGUCACUAUGGGGCUUUUAGUGCUUCCAAAAACUAAAACCACCCCUACGAUUCUCCUGUGUUCACAAAACCCUGCCUGCCUUUCUCUGGUGGUCUCGGCCUUUCUCGAGGACCCUGUGGUUGAUACUUGUUGGUUCAAUGAGGUGUCAUUUGAACAGCAUAAAACAACAGAGCUGCUCCUCGGGAAGUUCUUGCUUUGCUCACUCUGUGUAUAUCUUUCCUUUAUAUCGUUUUCAACAUUAGAAAUAUAAGCCAGGUGUGGUGGUGCACACCUGUAAUCCCAGCGCUUGAGAGGCUGAGGCAGGAGGAUCGCUAUGAGGCCAGCCUAGGCUACAUAGUAAGACCUUGUCUCAAGAAAAAGAAAAAAGAAAUAUAAUACCUGUUUAUUGAAGGUAAAUUAGAAAACACAAAUCUACAAUGAAGAAAAGAAGACAAAAGAAAAAAUUACUUGUGAUCUCACAAUGCAGACACAGCCAUUGUUAACCUUUGGGUUAUAUCCUUAUGUUUUUGUUUUGUUUUCAACAAAGGAGGGGAGAGGAGAAAUUGUCAGAGGACAUGUGGCAUUUUCUCAGCAGAACUGUCAAAAUGCUGCUUUAAGGAAAUCUUUGAUUUCUUGGCAAACAGAUCUCAAUAAUUUUCAAUGAUAUACAGGGUUUUUGGAAAUCUCAUAGGAAAUGCUAUAUUCUUCUCUAUGCUGAUGAAGGGUCUAUCUGGGAGAGAUUCUGUGUGCGUGUAUGUGAGUGUGUGUGUGCUUGCGCACGUAUGUAAAUGGACUGUCUGUGGCUCCUGAAAAAGAAAUUCUGUUGCUGGAUUUGCUGACUCACUGCCAAACUCUGCUGUGCAGGCGAGGAGCAGAUUCUGAGUUAUUCAAGCCAAACAUUUGGCCCUCUUGGUUUAUUGGCUACUGUGACAGACUUCUCCUCACACCUCACCUCCUUGCUGGCGGGUGGACAUAUCAAGCGUUUUGUUCAUUUUGCCUCCUGAUCUCCUCCUAUUUCUUCCAAUUACUCCUUAACGUUUCACACAUUUGUACCAGUACCACCCCAGCUCCCUACUGCACAGCGGCAGGAAUAGCCAGACGCUUCCUUCCUGAGGUCGAGGCAGGAAUUCACCGUCUCCUUCCGAAGUCUCCCUGGGCAUGUGCUCGCCCGCUUGCUCCCAAGCUGUCAGGAGGCGUCCUCUGGGAGGAGCUCGGCUCGCCUCGUUUGUUCCCAGGCCCUCAGAAUAGCCUCGUGUUUCCUCUCUGCACCCAAGAUCACCCACAUAGCACCUGCUCUCAGCUUGGUCUGCAAUGGCAUGUUCUUUCUUGGGUUGAGCUCCAAGAACCAGGUCCAAUUACCUUCUUGGCACUGUCAUCCCGCACCUGAAAGACCUCUAUUUUUCCUCAGUUUGAGAAAGAAGUGUGCUUUGUCAUUUGGAUUUGGGAAGACAAAGUGCUUCCUUCUACCACACCUCGUGCACCAGAUCACUGCUAAAUAAUGCAGUUCUAGAACUGGAAGAGAUCUUAGGCACCGUGAAGUCAUCUACUGCUUCCCAGCAAGUCUCAAUUGGAUGGUCUGUUCAGAUCAUUGCCAGACAGGUUGUAAAGCAAAUUCUCAAGAGGAGGACAGAGGAGGGGAUGAACAGUGGAUACUACCAGAAUGUUAGAGCUGUCAGUAUCAUGAAAGCACAUUGUGACUUCAUCCUUAGGUUUUGAUUGAGAUUUUAUUUGGGUUUUUUUUUGAUCCUUUAUAUCUUUAUCUGUAGCAAAUAAUUAUUGAAGAAAAAAUGUCAUUAGGGAAACAUCUUAGGAAAUUUGCUUUAAGGAAUUUACACAAAACUUUAAAUUCCUUUUUAUUUAGAUUAUUUAACUUGCUUAUUUAAGGAAAAAGGGCUUAUCAUUGCUAUAUGGAGCUCAUUUAGAAGACAUGCACAAAUAAUAGCUUACAUUUAUGGGGCACUGGCUGCUUCCCAAGCACUGUUCUAAGUAAUUCACAUAAUACUGGCUCAUUAAAUCCUCUCAAGAAUUAUCAGGGAUGGGUAUAAUUAUCCUUAUUUCAUGGAUAGGGAAAGUGAGGCACAAAGAGGUGAAAGAACUUGCCUGUAUUCACAUAGCUAGGAAGUUGCAAAGCCAUGACUUGAACCUGGGUAGUCUGAAAUCACAAUAAAAAAAAAAGCAGGUAAGGCCAGGUGCGGUACCAUGUGCCUGUAAUCCCAGCUACUUAUGAGGCCAAGACAGGAGAAGGCAAGUGUGGGGUUAACCUGAGCAACUUAGUGAGACCCUGUCUCAAAACAAAAGAUUAAAAAAGGCUGGGACGUAGCUCAAGGUGAGGCCCUCAGUUCAACCCCCAGCCCCGCUCCCAGCAAAGUAAAAUCGGAACAAAUUCAUUUUACUCUUUCCAAGCACCUUACACGUGAAUUUUAAGUGGCAGUUAAUGUGGGAUAGGAAGGAAUAGAGGAAGAACUGUUUAGAGUCGAGAGAUGAUGUGAAAGAGUGAAAAUGAAGAAAGAUGUAGCUGAGACUUCUGGAGUGGGUCUGAGAUAAGAAUUCCAGUGGGACCAGUGUGGCACAGCCCUCUGCUGUGUGCUUAGACUGGCCUCAGGCAGUAUGGCAGGCAGCCAGGAAGUGUGGCUGGUGACUGAUUCUUGUCACUCACUGUCCUGGUGCCCUGCUCCUCAUCCUGAGACAGACAGUGCUGCCCACAGCUCCCUCUGAGUUCCCAGCCACCUGAAGCACUCCUCCCAUCCGGACCCAAAGUCGCUUUCCUUUUACAGAGCCAGAAUUGGAGUCCUUUCUUUUCAGACAUCUUCGUACCUCACAACACGUAGGACCAUCCCGCUGUUCUAGGUCUAAACCCAGGGGGCCAGCUAGGUUUGGGAAAUCAGAAUCUUUCAGAUUUGGAAAGGUCAAAUGAUCUAUAUUACAGAUAUAAUAUUUCUAAUGGAGUCUGGGUCAGUACUCUAUAAACAAAUACAUUCACAUUUCUACUGCAAAAUGUAUAUGUAUCGUCAUGGGAACUGAGAUCAGUAAGACCUACACAGAGCUUCCUGGUCAAAAGAUCAGAUUUUGCCACCAAAAGAGUUUUUGUGCCCAAUAUAUGAAAACAUUUUGAUUGUGAGCCUUUUCAGAUUUUUGAACCGAGGAUAAGGGAUUGUGAAUAGCAUCACCAAUUCCUUCCACUCUAAGGGCAGGAGCUGGAAUAUGCAGACAAAGCCCUUCCUGCAUUUCCUGUGCUGGCUGGAAAAUAGUCCUGUUUGGGCUGAUUCUUAAGAACCAAAGUUCCAAUCUCAUUCCAGAUUUUCGCAGGGAAAGUAGACAGGAAAGAGUCAGUAUCUGCACUCCUCAUUCCCUGUGGGUUUGGGGAGCAAAAGUAAUAAAGAAAAUACAAACUCAGGGAAGAAAAGA